UACAGAGGUCUCAAGCGUUGUUCGGAUUCAUCGGGCGUAAAGGGUGCGUAGGUGGCGCCGUAAGUCGGGUGUGAAAUUUCGGAGCUUAACUCCGAAACUGCAUUCGAUACUGCGGUGCUUGAGGACUGGAGAGGAGACUGGAAUUCAUGGUGUAGCAGUGAAAUGCGUAGAGAUCAUGAGGAAGACCAGUGGCGAAAGGCGGG
rnacentral:rRNA from 1 species